GAUGAACGCUGGCGGCGUGCCUAAUACAUGCAAGUCGAGCGAAAGGACGCGGAGCUUGCACCUCUGAUUUUAGCGGCGGACGGGUGAGUAACACGUGGAUAACCUACCUAUAAGACUGGGAUAACUUCCGGAAACCGGAGCUAAUACCGGAUAAUAUUUUGAACCGCAUGGUUCAAAAGGGAAAAACGGUCCUGCCGUCUCCUAUUGGUUGAUCCGCGCUGCAUUAGCUAGUUGGUAAGGUAACGGCUUACCAAGGCAACGAUGCAUAGCCGACCUGAGAGGGUGAUCGGCCACACUGGAACUGAGACACGGCCCAGACUCCUACGGGAGGCAGCAGUAGGGAAUCUUCCGCAAUGGGCGAAAGCCUGACGGAGCAACGCCGCGUGAGUGAUGAAGGUCUUCGGAUCGUAAAACUCUGUUAUUAGGGAAGAACAUAUGUUUGAGUAACUGUUCACAUCUUGACGGUACCUAAUCAGAAAGCCACGGCUAACUACGUG
rnacentral:rRNA from 1 species